rnacentral:rRNA from 1 species
CAUGUCUUUUUGAUUAUAAUUUUAAGUCUGAUCUGCUCAAUGAGGAUUUAAAUUGCCGCAGUAUUUUGACUGUGCGAAGGUAGCAUAGUAAUUAGUUUCUUAAUUAGGAGCUUGAAUGAAAGAUUUGACAAGAAAGUGGCUGUCUCUUUUUAAAUGUUAUAAAAUUUUAUUUUUAAGUAAAAAAGCUUAAAUUUUUUUAAAAGACGAGAAGACCCUGUAGAGUUUAAUAUUAUGUUUAUUAAUUUAGUAGAAAUUAUAAUUAUUCUAUAUAUUUAAUUGGGGUGAUUGAAAGAUAAAGUUAAUUCUUUUAAUAUUAAAAGUUGAUGAUUAUUAAUUUUAUAAUCUUAUUUUUAUAAAGGUUAAAAUAAAUUACCUUAGGGAUAACAGCGUUAUUUUUUUUUAAAGUUCUAAUUGAAAAAAAAGUUUGCGACCUCGAUGUUGGAUUAAAAUUAAUUUUUGGUGAAGUAACUUAAGGAUUAGGUCUGUUCGACCUUUAAAAUUUUACAUGAUCUGAGUUUAAACCGGUGUAAGCCAGGUUGGAUUCUAUCUUUAGUUGAUUAUAAUAUUUUAGUACGAAAGGACCAAGUAUUGAUUAGAUAUUAAUUA